AUUGAACGCUGGCGGCAGGCCUAACACAUGCAAGUCGAACGAGUGGCGGACGGGUGAGUAAUGUCUGGGAAACUGCCCGCUGGAGGGGGAUAACUACUGGAAACGGUAGCUAAUACCGCAUACCAUCGGAUGUGCCCAGAGGGGAUUAGCUAGUCGGUGGGGUAACGGCUCACCUAGGCGACGAUCCCUAGCUGGUCUGAGAGGAUGACCAGCCAAACGGGGACGGAGACACGGUCCAGCGUCCUACGGGAGGCAGCAGUGGGGAAUAUUGAAAAAUGGGCGCAAGCCUGAUGCAGCCAUGCCGCGUGUAUGAAGAAGGCAUUCGGGUUGUAAAGUACUUUCAGCUAGGAGGCGUUACUCGCAGAAGAAGCACCGGCUAACUCCGUGCCAGCAGCCGCGGUAAUAC
rnacentral:rRNA from 1 species